CCUACGGGUGGCAGCAGUGGGGAAUAUUGCACAAUGGGGGAAACCCGGAUGGAGCAACGCCGCGUGAGCGAUGAAGGCCUUCGGGUCGUAAAGCUCUGUCCUAAGGGAAGAAUACUGACGGUACCUUAGGAGGAAGCCCCGGCUAACUACGUGACAGCAGCCGCGGUAAUACGUAGGGGGCUAGCGUUAUCCGGAAUUACUGAGCGUAAAGGUUGCGUAGGCGGCGCUUGAAGUCCGAGGUGAAAGGCUACGGCUCAACCGUAGUAAGGCUUUGAAACUGUAGGGCUUGAGAGCAGGAGAGGAGAAAGGCAUUCCCAGUGUAGCGGUGAAAAGCGUAGGAAUUUGGAGGAAAACCAGUUUCGAAGUAGGCUCUCUAGACUGUAACUGACGCUGAGGCACGAAAGCGUGUGGAGCGAACAGGAUUAGAUACCCGAGUAGUC
rnacentral:rRNA from 1 species